UUCCAGUACAUUUCAUUUGUAAAUCUCUUAUGAUCAGUAGUAAUAUUUUUUUUUUCUUUCUUGCUAUAUACAUCUCUUAGAAAAGUAAAGUGGGCACACUUCACUAGGAAAGAAAUAUUUUUUUAUUAAGAGCACCAUACAUUCUUCGAACAACCUGUUUUUUCGAUGUCGAUGUUGAUCAGCUGUCUUUUGAGUUGGUCAAAAUGCAGUUGCAACUAUUUGGGCGAUUUUCCUGCUUAUUCAAGAUGUCAAGUCUUGCUGGUCGAAGAAGCUCAAGACAGUGUGUUACAUCAUAAUAUAUGGUGCUCGGGGACUAGCUGU
rnacentral:lncRNA from 1 species